rnacentral:rRNA from 1 species
UACGAAGGGGGCGAGCGUUGUUCGGAUUUACUGGGCGUAAAGGGCGCGUAGGCGGCGCGAGAAGUCGAGUGUGAAAGCCCCGGGCUCAACCUGGGAAUUGCGCUCGAUACUCUAGUGCUUGAGUUCGGGAGAGGAGCGUGGAAUUCCCAGUGUAGAGGUGAAAUUCGUAGAUAUUGGGAAGAACACCGGUGGCGAAGGCGGCGCUCUGGACCGAGACUGACGCUGAGGCGCGAAAGCUAGGGGAGCGAACGGG